rnacentral:rRNA from 1 species
GUGAGGAAUAUUGGACAAUGGGCGCAAGCCUGAUCCAGCCAUGCCGCGUGCAGGAAGACGCAUCUAUGGUGUGUAAACUGCUUUUGUACGGGAAGAAACACUCCCUCGUGAGGGAGCUUGACGGUACCGUAAGAAUAAGGAUCGGCUAACUCCGUGCCAGCAGCCGCGGUAAUACGGAGGAUCCGAGCGUUAUCCGGAAUCAUUGGGUUUAAAGGGUCCGUAGGCGGUUUAAUAAGUCAGUGGUGAAAGCCCAUCGCUCAACGAUGGAACGGCCAUUGAUACUGUUAGACUUGAAUUACAAGGAAGUAACUAGAAUAUGUAGUGUAGCGGUGAAAUGCUUAGAUAUUACAUGGAAUACCAAUUGCGAAGGCAGGUUACUACUUGUGGAUUGACGCUGAUGGACGAAAGCGUGGGGAGCGAACAGGAUUAGAUACCCCAGUAGUCC